UAGGAAGUUGACCAAUCUUGAAAUUCCAAAGAGGGAUGAAUGGUUUGACGGCUUAGUGAGUGAAAAUCCAACUGCUGGACCAAGUGGCAACAAUGUGUCUGCAGACUCUCUGUUAAAAGAUGGUUAUGAAUCUGCAAAUGAAAGGUUCACUAUAGAACAGGGUGACAAGGUUCCAAAGAAAAAGUUUGAUGAAGAUGAAGAUAAUGAUGUAGAAGACAUCCCCAAAGAAGCAAUCCUCCAAAGGAUUAAUUCAAAGAAGGGA
rnacentral:misc_RNA from 1 species